UUUAAAAAGCAUUUGAGGACCUCUGCUUCUUUUCAACAGUUAAACAAGUAAAGCACAAGUCAUUCUGAAGAACUGAGAAGACAAAUGUUCCAAGUCAAAAUUUAUUAAGAGGUGUCUUCAAGGAAAACCUCUGUAACAGGCAUUGAAGGUUUCAUAAAGAAGAGGGAAUCAUGCAGAUCAAAUCUUUAGCUCUGACGAAUACGUUGUUGAUUUCUCCCUUCUCUUCUUAGGAGCCUCUUGAGUGUACUGAAGAAGUCUGUACCAUUAUAAGGGAAGCUGGUGCAGUGACAGCAUUCAUGGGAUCUUGGGAUCUUCCCUGUGCAUGUGGAGGAGCUGACAAUGUCAUUUAAGUUUGUGUUUCAGAGUCUUAUGCACAAAUAUAAAGAAAGUUUGAGCACUGUGCAAAAUGCCCAGAACACAGGAAAGCUCUGAUCGAGCUUUCACCAGUCUGGAACCAGUGCCCUGAAGUUUUACUGCAAGCAGAAAUCCUCAAGUGCAUAGA